rnacentral:rRNA from 1 species
GCCCUUAGAGUUUGAUCCUGGCUCAGGAUGAACGCUGGCGGCGUGCUUAACACAUGCAAGUCGAACGAACCUUCGGGUUAGUGGCGGACGGGUGAGUAACGCGUGAGAAUCUGCCCUCAGGAGGGGGACAACAGCUGGAAACGGCUGCUAAUACCCCAUAUGCCGCGAGGUGAAAUGAAUUUCGCCUGAGGAUGAGCUCGCGUCUGAUUAGCUAGUUGGUGUAGGUAAUAGCUCACCAAGGCAUCGAUCAGUAGCUGGUCUGAGAGGAUGAUCAGCCACACUGGGACUGAGACACGGCCCAGACUCCUACGGGAGGCAGCAGUGGGGAAUUUUCCGCAAUGGGCGAAAGCCUGACGGAGCAACGCCGCGUGAGGGAUGAAGGCCUCUGGGCUGUAAACCUCUUUUAUCAAGGAAGAAGAUCUGACGGUACUUGAUGAAUAAGCCACGGCUAAUUCCGUGCCAGCAGCCGCGGUAAUACGGGAGUGGCAAGCGUUAUCCGGAAUUAUUGGGCGUAAAGCGUCCGCAGGCGGCCCUUCAAGUCUGCUGUUAAAAAGUGGAGCUUAACUCCAUCAUGGCAGCGGAAACUGUUGGGCUUGAGUGUGGUAGGGGCAGAGGGGAAUUCCCGGUGUAGCGGUGAAAAUGCGUAGAUAUCGGG